rnacentral:rRNA from 1 species
AAACCAACAGGGAUUGCCUUAGUAACGGCGAGUGAAGCGGCAAAAGCUCAAAUUUGAAAUCUGGCACCUUCGGUGUCCGAGUUGUAAUUUGAAGAAGGUAAC